rnacentral:rRNA from 1 species
GUACACUCCUACGGGAGGCAGCAGUGGGGAAUUUUGGACAAUGGGCGAAAGCCUGAUCCAGCAAUGCCGCGUGUGUGAAGAAGGCCUUCGGGUUGUAAAGCACUUUUGUCCGGAAAGAAAUCCUUGGCUCUAAUACAGUCGGGGGAUGACGGUACCGGAAGAAUAAGCACCGGCUAACUACGUGCCAGCAGCCGCGGUAAUACGUAGGGGGCGAGCGUUAAUCGGAAUUACUGGGCGUAAAGCGUGCGCAGGCGGUUUGCUAAGACCGAUGUGAAAUCCCCGGGCUCAACCUGGGAACUGCAUUGGUGACUGGCAGGCUAGAGUAUGGCAGAGGGGGGUAGAAUUCCACGUGUAGCAGUGAAAUGCGUAGAGAUGUGGAGGAAUACCGAUGGCGAAGGCAGCCCCCUGGGCCAAUACUGACGCUCAUGCACGAAAGCGUGGGGAGCAAACAGGAUUAGAAACCCCAGUAGUCCCAUG